rnacentral:lncRNA from 1 species
UAGAGAGAUUUCCUUUAAGCUUGUUAUAUAUUUAGUCUUACUAAAAACAUGACAAUAACUUCUGUUUUGGUAUAUAUGAUCAAAUACAGUACUGCUUUUAUAAAUAUUUUAAGAAUAAAUUUAUAGGUUGUUCCAUUGUCAUUUGUCCCACGUUUUCUCUUCAGAUGGAAGAAUUCAUCUAUCACGUUAACAAAUGUAAAUACGCUGUAUUAAUGCUGAGAUCAUGAAGACUUAGAGGAACUUGAUGUUUAUCUAUGUUUUUCCAGUUAUAGAAAGCAUUUUUUUUUUGAGGUGAGAAGAGACCAGUAUGAUUAUCUGGGCCUCUGAGAGAAUUGUGGCAGGAAAUGAGUGUGGUUUACAGGAGGUUCUCAGCACAGGAGAUGCUCAGAAGCUCAGAUGAAGCUGUAGCAUCUUGCCUGGCAAUGGGAGCCUUUCCACCAGACUGACAAUGGAUCAUCAGUUUCAGUUUAUUAGAAAUCUUGCUCUUGAAUAACUGAAGCUCAGGUAUCGUGGAAGA